rnacentral:rRNA from 1 species
CCUACGGGAGGCAGCAGUGAGGAAUAUUGGUCAAUGGGCGCGAGCCUGAACCAGCCAAGUCGCGUGAGGGAGGACGGCCCUACGGGUUGUAAACCUCUUUUGCCGGGGAGCACCGGGCGUAACGUGUGGCGCCACUGAGAGUACCCGGAGAAAAAGCAUCGGCUAACUCCGUGCCAGCAGCCGCGGUAAUACGGAGGAAGCGAGCGUUAUCCGGAUUGAUUGGGUUAAAAGGGUGCGUAGGUGGAUCGUUAAGUCAGUGGUCAAAUUGAGGGGCUCAACCCCUUCCCGCCAUUGAAACUGGCGCUCUUGAGUGGAAGAGAAGUAUGCGGAAUGCGUGGUGUAGCGGUGAAAUGCAUAGAUAUCACGCAGAACCCCGAUUGCGAAGGCAGCAUGCCGGCUUCCGACUGACGCUGAAGCACGAAAGCGUGGGGAUCGAACAGGAUUAGAUACCCUUGUAGUC